ACAUGCAAGUCGAGCGAAUCUUUGGGAGCUUGCUCCCAAUGGUUAGCGGCGGACGGGUGAGUAACACGUGGGCAACCUGCCUGUAAGACUGGGAUAACUUCGGGAAACCGGAGCUAAUACCGGAUAAUUCAUUUCCUCUCAUGAGGAAAUGCUGAAAGUCGGUUUCGGCUGUCACUUACAGAUGGGCCCGCGGCGCAUUAGCUAGUUGGUGAGGUAACGGCUCACCAAGGCAACGAUGCGUAGCCGACCUGAGAGGGUGAUCGGCCACACUGGGACUGAGACACGGCCCAGACUCCUACGGGAGGCAGCAGUAGGGAAUCUUCCACAAUGGACGAAAGUCUGAUGGAGCAACGCCGCGUGAGCGAUGAAGGCCUUCGGGUCGUAAAGCUCUGUUGUUAGGGAAGAACAAGUACCGGAGUAACUGCCGGUACCUUGACGGUACCUAACCAGAAAGCCACGGCUAACUACGUGCCAGCAGCCGCGGUAAUACGUAGGUGGCAAGCGUUGUCCGGAAUUAUUGGGCGUAAAGCGCGCGCAGGCGGUCCUUUAAGUCUGAUGUGAAAGCCCACGGCUCAACCGUGGAGGGUCAUUGGAAACUGGGGGACUUGAGUGCAGAAGAGGAAAGCGGAAUUCCACGUGUAGCGGUGAAAUGCGUAGAGAUGUGGAGGAACACCAGUGGCGAAGGCGGCUUUCUGGUCUGUAACUGACGCUGAGGCGCGAAAGCGUGGGGAGCAAACAGGAUUACAUACCCUGGUAGUCCACGCCGUAAACUAUGAGUGCUAAGUGUUAGG
rnacentral:rRNA from 2 species